rnacentral:lncRNA from 1 species
AUGGGGCUGGAGGGGUUUGUGCUCUGCGGAGGGAGGUGCUCGGGUCUGUGUACUGCCGUUCCCUGGGAGACGGGGUGGGUGUUGGGUUCCCGGGCAGAGAAGGGUUUGUUGCUGUGGAAGGAGGGCUGGGAUGUUUGCUUCGAAGUUUGUGCAGCAGGGGUUUGUUGUCGUGUCUGGGAAAGUAAAGUAUGUAAUAGCAUAAGGAGCACAAACAGCUCCUGUGCUGGAGCAAUGCCAGCGCCAGGUGUGCCCAAAAUCAGCAGAGCUGAGGUACCUGUGGCAGCUAAUGCACAGCUCAGGGCUGCUGCGCUGCCGGAGCCACCCAAGGACGGCGGAACCAAGGUGCCAGCAGGCAGCAAAGCGCUGAACCCGAGAGACUUCGUGCGCAUUCAGCCUCUGCCUGCUUUGGCUGAGAGAGAAGGGAAGGUGCUGGCCAGGAGCUGGGCGCUGUACAGGAGCAGCGGGCCGCCGUCGGAGCAAGUGUUCUGGGAGAAGUGGCACAGGAGGGAACGGCAGCGCACACAGGGGCUCUUCACCCCCCCCGGGAAGCCCUACCAGGAGCUGGGCGAGCUGCUGUGCACCGACCCAAAGCAGCUCACCCUGCUCUCUUUGGGACAGCUCGCACAGCACAAAGGAAUAUUUGGCUAACAAGCAGAGCAGUACUACCUGAGAAUUUAGGAUAGAAAGCGAUGAAGAAUAACGUAGCUAGUAGAAGAAGAAGGGGAGAUGAACUUGCAUGAGCAAACAACAGUUGAAGCAAGUAGCAGUUUAGCCAGGACAGCUUGCUAACUCCCACCACACGCUGCAUGGAAGAGGAAGAGCUGAAGAGGGAUCAUCCUUCUCAUACAGACAGUAACAAUCUGGGGCAAAUUUAUUUAUUUCAGCUCAGAAAUAUUGAAGCCAGUUGUUAAACUGGAAUAUUUCCGUGUGCAGGCGAAGUGAAUGCAGGUGCUCAGUUGUGAGGGGGAAAGUGUAGUAUUUAAAGCUUGAAAACCUUUUGUAUAAAAUCAGAUCAGUAAUAUUUCACUUUCCUUGAGACGUAGAAUGAUGUGUCUUAAAUUGCAAGUGAUAAAAGGCAGUGCUUUCUAUGGCUAGAGAUGCUGCUCAUUAUUCAUGAAAUGUCUAUGGAAGAAGUGUUGAAUGCUCAGCAGCAAUGGGGGAAGGACAUAAUGGAAUGUCUCUACAUUCUUUGUAGUAUAAUGUGACCUUUCCAUUAAAUUAAUGUUAUGCUAUUUGCACAAAAAGAGAGCUAAGCUAGAGAGUAUUUUUAGGGGACAAUAGUCAAGUUAAUUGGGUAGCUAUAUAACUGUCACACUUUACAUUAAGAGUUCAAAAGCAGUGUACAGGGAAUGGAGGUUGCAGCUAUAAUGUUACUCUGGAUUCUCUUCAUUGGAAAAUGGAGUUGCUUUGCAUCUUGGUUGAAAGCUUGACUGUGGCAUUGUCUGGGGGACACUAUAGCCUGGGGCUUGUAUUUUCCCCAGUGUAUUAAGAUGGAGAUUUUGGCAUAAUUAAUCAGUGACUUUCUGCUGAAAGCUUUGCCUGUCCUCUCGCCUAAUCUAGAUAGGAAAAACAGAUUCCAGAGUCCUCAAGUAAAACGCUGCUAGAUUGCAGUUUGACUUCAGG